rnacentral:rRNA from 1 species
ACCCGUUGAUCCUGCGGGAGGUUGCUGCUAUCGGGAAUCGAUUUAGCCAUGCAAGUCAGGGGCUCUUCGGAGCACCGGCAAAAUGCUCAGUAACACGUCAAUAAUCUGCCCUUAGGUCAGGGAUAGCUUCGGGAAACUGAGGCUAACACCUGAUAAGGAAUUAUGGCUGGAAUGCCUUAUUCUACAAAAUUAGCCUAAGGAUGAGUUGGCGGCGGAUUAGGUUGUUGGCGGGGUAAAGGCCCACCAAGCCUUGGAUCCGUAGGGGCCUUGAGAGAGGUAGCCCCGAGAAGGACACUGAGAUACUGGUCCUAGCCCUACGGGGUGCAGCAGGCGCGAAACCUUUACAAUGCACGCAAGUGUGAUAAGGGAAUCCCGAGUGCUUAUGCUUUGCAUAGGCUUUUGCUAAGAGUAAAAAUCUUGGCGAAUAAGUAGUGGGUAAGACUGGUGCCAGCAGCCGCGGUAACACCAGCGCUACAAGUGGGGAUCACAAUUAUUGGGCCUAAAGCGUCCGUAGCCGGUUUAGUAAAUCUUUUGUGAAAUCGUCUCGCUUAACGGGACGGCGUGCAAGGGAAACUGCUAAACUAGAGACCGGGAGGAGUCGGAAGUAUUUCGGGGGGAGCGGUAAAAUGUUAUAAUCCCCGAAGGACUACCAGUGGCGAAGGCGUCCGACUAGAACGGUUCUGACGGUGAGGGACGAAAGCCAGGGGAGCAAAACGGAUUAGAUACCCGAGUAGUCCUGGCUGUAAACGCUGCGAGCAAGGUGUUGCGUCCUCUUCGUGAGGAUGCAGUGUCGAAGAGAAGUCGUUAAGCUCGCCGCCUGGGAAGUAUGGUCGCAAGGCUGAAACUUAAAGGAAUUGGCGGGGGAGCACCACAAGGGGUGCGGCGUGCGGUUUAAUCUAACUCAACUCAGAGAAUCUCACCAGAGGCGACGGCAGGAUGAAAGUCGUGUUGAAGACAUUACUUGACGAGCCGAGAGGUAGUGCAUGGCCGUCGUCAGCUCGUGCCGUGAGGUGUCCUCUUAAGUGAGGCAACGAGCGAGACCUGUGCUUACAAUUGCAAACAGUUCCUUCGGGAAGACUGAGCACAUUGUGAGGACUGCCCGGGAAACUGGGAGGAAGGCGCAGGCUACGGUAGGUCUGUAUGCUCCGAAUCCUCUGGGCUACACGCGCGCAACAAUGGUAAAGACAAUGGGAUACGACCCCGAAAGGGGGAGUUAAACCUCUAAACUUUAUCUCAGUUCGAAUUGAGGAUUGUAACUCAUCCUCAUGACCUUGGAAUCCCUAGUAAUCGGGUGUUAUCAACGCCCGGUGAAUAUGUCCCUGCUCCUUGCACACACCGCCCGUCAUCGCAUCGAGCAGGGUUUAGAUGAGAUCUUAGACAUAGUGCUAAUAUCGA